rnacentral:snoRNA from 1 species
GGAUCAACUGAUGAGAAAACUGCAACAAUAUGACGUCUCAUGAUUCAUUGUAUUUAAAUCUCUGAUGAUC